UUGCUGUGAUGAAACCCAUGCGUGUCAACUGACUGUGGAUGUCUGUGUGUGUGGCAGCUCUGAUGGGCGUUCUGUCCAACAGUGCCCUCCUCACACCCAGCGCCCUCAGACAUGAUCUUACACACAAGCUGAUGCAA